AGUUCUUGAUGCUCUAUUGAACACAAGCGGGAGGGCGGAGUCCGUUUUAAAGCGUCUUGUCACGGAGGAACCACUAUCGAACCCAGGAAUACUUUUUAACCACUUCAAAUGUAGUUUUUGUUGUUGUUUGCACUCAUACGGACUGCGUCGUGGAUUCUUACAGCACAUUUAAAACCCAUUUAUUCGACACAACGAGGAGUUUCCACUCAAAUACCGGACAGUGAAACUAACAAACCCACUACCGAUUUAAACAUCUGAGUGCAGAUUAAUUCGGCAACGGCCGUUUGGAUUCAGUCUGUAAGUGCAGCUGAAGGCUCCACACUGUUAGGUCAGGAUGAAAAGAUUCAGGCGACAUGGCCAGGAGUCCCAGAGAGACAGACUCAAACAGGAACUUUACCAGUUCAACAAGACUGUGGAGCAUGGCUUCCCCCACCAGCCCAGCGCCCUGGGCUACAGUCCAUCUCUCCAGCUGGUGGCCAUCGGUACACGUUCUGGAGCCAUCAAAUUAUAUGGAGCCCCAGGUGUGGAGUUCAUGGGUCUCCAUGAUGAGAAUGCCGCAGUCACACAAAUACACUUUCUCCCCCACCAGGUUGAACUGGUGACUCUACUGGAUGACAACAGUUUGCACAUGUGGACUUUGAGAGCCCACACAGGACUUUCAGAACUUCUAGAGAUAGGACGCUUCACUCUCACUGGUCCACCUGGUGCCCCACCAAGUGUGACCAGAGUGACAGCAGUCUUGGCCCACUCUUCUGGGGAGUUGUUGCUGCUGGGAACUGAGGGGGGGCAUGUCUUUAUUGUUCAGGUCCCUGGCUUCAGAGAGCUCGAAGAGAGGAACAUCAGCCUUGCUGAAGUUGCCAACAGUGUACCAGAUGAUUAUGUAGGGCAUAGAAGUUUAGAACAUGUUGAAGCCCUACAGGAGAACCCGGCUAACCCAAAUCACGUUGCUAUUGGUUAUGGACGAGGUCUUAUUGUCAUCUGGGAUCUUGAGAAACGGUGUGCUAUCCAGCACUUUCCGGCUACUCAGCAACUGGAAAGUGUGUGGUGGACAGAGGAUAGAGAUUACAUUCUUAGUUCCCACAGUGAUGGAAGCUAUUGUCGUUGGACAUUUGGGGAGGAGGAUGGAAAUGAGGUGGAGAAAUCAGAUAUUCCUUAUGGGCAUUUCCCAUGCAAAGCGAUUUCUAAAAUAAUUCAGCUGCAAACAAAGGAGGGGACACCAUUCCUCAUCUUCAGUGGUGGCAUGCCCAGGGCCAGCUUUGGGGACAGGCACUGCAUUACUGUCAUCCAUAAUAAAACACAUGUCGCCUUGGACUUCACCUCCAGGAUCAUUGACUUCUUCGUCAUCAAAGAUGGACAACUUCAAAGUGGGGAUCCGAACACAUUAGUGGUCUUGGUUGAAGAGGAGUUGGUAGCGAUUGACCUGGAGGAAGAGGGAUGGCCAGUCAUUCAGACACCUUACUUGGUUCCACUCCACAGUUCAGCAAUCACCUGCUCUCACCAUGUCUCUGCUAUCCCUCUCAAACUGUGGGAGAGAAUUCUUGCUGCUGGAGAGCUACAAAAGACAAGUUACUCAAAAAAGCCAUGGCCAAUAACCGGAGGGCAGAACUUGGCCCCAGAUCCUCCACAGAGAGAUCUCUUGCUCACAGGGCAUGAGGAUGGAACUGUGCGCUUCUGGGAUGCCUCAGGAGUCUGUCUGUAUCCCAUGUACAAAUUGAGCACGGCUGGAGUCUUCCACACAGACACUGACCCCAAUGACAACAUGCAGCAAGGUGCUGAAGGAGAAUGGCCACCAUUCAGAAAGGUUGGCUGCUUUGACCCCUACAGUGAUGAUCCACGGCUUGGUAUUCAGAAGAUCCACCUAUGUAAAUACAGUGGUUAUCUUGCAGUGGCAGGAACAGCUGGACAGAUUCUGGUGCUGGAGCUCAAUGACGAGGCAGCAGAACAGACUGUGGAAGCGAAAGUUGUGGAUUUGCUGCUAGGCCAAGAAGGAUUCCGCUGGAAGCCCUUCCCAAAUUGGUCACGUGAUACAGCCGGGCAGCGAGGCUUCGGACGUCAUCACUUUCAGCUCCUCCCCGAAAUGACGCAAGCCUCGAUACACGCUUUGCUGAAACACCCCUUCCAUUACCAGACACGUGCCUCGAAGACUCGUCACAUCUUGUAACAUCACUAAAUAAAAGGUAGACUUGAAGUGUCUGUUAUUUGGAACUAUACAACUGAAGGUGUAUUUUCUUCUCUUGAAGCCAUUCUGUUGUUAAAUUACUUCUGUGCUUUAGGUCGUUGCCCUGAUGCGUCACCCGUCUUCUAUUAAGCUUCAAUUAGCUGACAGAUGGCCUUAAGCUCCACUCAUACUGUUGUGUGUUCCUUCCAAACAUCUCAACUUUGGUUUUAUCUGUCCACACAAUAGUUUGCUAGGAGCACUAUAGGUGAGGUAUACCUAUGAUGUAAAUUACAAGCCUCUCUCAUCUUUUUAAGUGGGAGAACUUGCACAAUUAGUGGCUGGCUUGAAUACGUUGUACAAAAGCCAUUGUUUGCAAUGACAGCUUCAAGAUGCCUCCUGUAUGGAGAAACUAGUCACAUGCUUUCCUCAAGUGUGAUUUUGGCCCCUUCCUCCACACAAGCCAUCUGCCACCCAAAAAAAAGGUCAUAGUCCGCCAAACGUGAGUCCAUGUUAAGCACCCACUGCGAGCAAUAACAGGCGAGGGCACCAGGAGAAGGGCGAAGAAGGUGGGGACCUGAGAGAUGGAGGGGUGGUGGGGGGGGGGGGGGGGUACAGACCCCUGGAGUCAAGCCAAGAGAAAUGCACCCACUCUAUUACUAUGGUUACCAGGUCCCCGACUGUCAACCAUUAUCCCUGUACCGUCAUGGGGCGUUGAUGACCCGCAACCGUCAUCCCCACCCAGGCCAACCAACUCCCCAUAGGAUGUGAGAAUGUGGUGCAUUAAAAAUCAGUGGGGGAAAGGCAUGGCGGACCAGAGAGCAGCCUGGAGUGCUGGAACACCUGGCCAAGUGUCUUCCCCAGCCCGACACUGCAUUGACGGCUGUAUGAUGUAUUAAAACUGGAGGACCAGCAGGGCAGAGAAGGGAGGCGACCAGACUGGAGACCAGCACAGAUGUGCCAGGACCCGGCCCGGCAUCCGCCCCAUCAUGCCUCGUGCCAGCCCCCCAGGGGACCCUGAAUGAGAUGUGAAUGUGCCCAGUGUGCGAAAUAUGUACAGUGUCAUAAUAAAAAUGUGCUGAGCGUGUGAAGUAAGAGGCUAGACUCCUGCGGGCCCGGCCAGGUCCGACUGGCUGGAAGACCACAGGGGAAAGGGGGGCAUCCCCCCCCCCACAUCGACCACCACCCCGCAAACAGUACAGGGCACAGAAGGCGCACCUCCCCAAGGCGGGAGGCACCAACACCCUACCAUAGGCCCCAAAGUCUGCCGGGGACCCCUCACAGCCCGUGCGAGAGAGGGGGUGACGACCACGGCGCAGCGCUCCGGGAAGAGGGAAGAGGAGGACACAGGCCCGGGGUGCAGCAGCACGGCCCCCCCAACCCAGAGACAAGGAUGAGGCCCCCAGAGGUUUUUCUGAGUUAUUUUCUAGAUUUUGCCAUUGGUUAAUGUUUAUAGCUCGUUUAUCUUUCCAGUUUAACAAUAUUGUUAUUUUAGCGAUUGCUAGAAUUACAAGUAUUGGUUGAGCAUGUUUAUUUGGUAGAUGUAUACCUUUUCAAUCAUCCAAUAGACAAAGAUUAGGAGAAAUUGGAAUCCUACAGUUCAAAACUGGAUUAGCUGUAAUUACUGUUGUUGGUUUUUUUGUCAUUGAGAAUGUAUUUCUGCAGAUUUGCGCCCUGUAUUUAUUGUCAAUAGACACUGAGAUACUUUAGGGAUUAUUGUUCUUACUUUAUAGUUUUGAAGGAAGUUACCACCUCUAAUUUGACAUUCUUGGCACAAGAUUUCUUGGCACAUUUCAUGAAUGCAUUAUUUUUUAAUAAGUGAUAUAGUCGGUCAGUUCCACUUUGUUCCCAUGUGCUGCAGUAAAGGGGUAUUUUGUUAAUCUCAAAUUUGGUAUUGUGCCACAUUGGGAAGGAAUAAUAUGGUGCUGAUUGAGAUUGUAUGGUUUCUAGACUUUUCCAACAAGCUGAUAAAGUGGCUGCAAUAAUCAGAUUGAUAAAACAAUUCUGGUGUCAACUUGUGCUGAUAAAUGUGAGGUCUGAAAGUUUGGUGCUAUUGCAAUCAAUCUGUUCUAGUUCCAGCCAAGAUUGUUGUUCAACAAUUGGAUGUAACCAUUUAAUGAGGUGCUGUAUUUGGCUAGCUAAGUAAUAGUGUUUGAAGUUUUACCUUUCUGAAGGGUAGGUAGGCUAAUUCUAUUUUUCUUAUUUUUAGAAUCAGAAUCAUCUUUAUUUGCCAAGUAUGUCCAAAACACAGAAGGAAUUUGUCUCCGGUAGUUGGAGCCGCUCUAGUACAACAGACAGUCAAUUUACAGAACACUUUGGAGACAUAAAGACAUUGACAAAAAACAAUUGUACAAAAAGAUGCAGAGUCCUCUAGCACUUAGAGCAGUUCGAAUGACUAAUAUUGCAAUAGUCCGGUGCAAUGACCAUUGUGCAAAGGGCGCUGAGACUUCAAGGAGUGUAUGCGGUUUAAAGAGACGAGUAAUGAACAAAAUAAUAAAUUCUUCAUUAUAGGCCUGCGCGAAGCACCGAAGCAAGCAUCCCUUGUUACUGUCCUGCAUAUUUAUUAUUUAUGAAUACUUAUUGUGCCGUUUUUUUUUUGUGCUCGAAUUUUGCAUGCCCAUUUAACGUAUCCGCACAAAUGAGGUACCAAAAGUCUAUUUUUGGAUCCGGUUUACUGUUAUUUAUUCCCAUUUUUGUGAAUUUGGAAGUCAGUUUAUUUGCACCUAGAGUGAAUUCUUGCCUCUGCUUCCAAACCCAGUUGUCACUUACAAUCCAGUCUUAUACAUUCAUACUUUUACACAUUCACACGAUAUUAGUAACGUUUUUAUAAACACACGAAAACACGGAAACACAGAAACACGGAAUUUAAGUACAUACAGGACCCCGCCGUCCUCGCGGAAUUUGUCGGACUCCGCUGUCCUUCUGACCACUUGCCAGUGACUAGUAUUACACAAGGUUUAUUCUGCCGCAGACUUCUUCGUCGCGCAAUUCACUCACUCUUUAAUCCUUUUUUCCCAAAUUUUUUUUUAAAAUUUAACUCACCACUCGUCUUCAAUCCUGUGGAUUGUCGUCAACCUUCAGAUCCCAGUUGAGGAGAACGAAGACCAGUCCCGUAAAGGGUCUUACUUGCUGUGGCCACGGUCUCUUAACUGGAAGUCGGCUCCACAACUGGAAUCCUCGGGUGUGUUGACAUCCGGCUCGAAGGACCAAUUUAAUGUUAGAUUUAUCUUACCCAACAUUAUAAAAAAUAGACACAAAAGGAAUGAAGACACUGGUUUCUUUUUCUCAUGAGGAGGGCGUAUGGGAGAUUGUUCAGAUCACAGUCUCUCAACACGCUCUAAACAAUCUCUCCUGUCGCUCCUGCAUUUAUUUGAAAAUAAGGAGGUUUCUAAGUUUACAAGACAUAACGCACUAAGCUACAAGACACAACACAAAACAUUGGACCAACACCUGUCACGUCCCCGACCACAUCCGAUCACGUCCUUGGUCCAGGCGCCCUUCCAUCGGAUGAUGCUGAGUCAUCUUUUUGAAGGCGAGACAUCUAAAAUCGUCCAUAAUACUAAUGCAAGCUAAGCAAAUAAAUGAUAACUUCUACAAUUUAUUUAACAGUCAGACCGGUAGUGAUGGGAAUUGAAAACCAUUUCCUGUUGAUAACCGGUUCCAAAGCAAAUGAUUCCUUGGAAUCGUUCGCCAAAUUCCCAAGCGGUUCACUGAUUGAUUCUGGUAAGAAUAAUGAAUCGGCCUGCGCAAUGCGUGAACCAUCUCCCAUUCAUGGAAAACUUGGUCUGCAAGUGGUAGUAACUCAUUCCCUGCCAAUGCCGUCCAAAGACGUCAUUCAGAAUCCAUCUAUUCCCUGCCAAUGCCGUCUAAAGACAUCAAUGGCAUUUUUUUUAAACAGCGAUGGGUGGGGGAGGGUCUUGUGCAGUUUAUGUGUGAUCGUCGAGCCUCUGGAUAACUGCAAUGAGGAUUGGCACCCUGUAGAGGGCAACAAUGCCUUCAGCUGAACGUCCUUCCCUCAGAGGAAGAAGAGGAAGAAGAAGGAGGGGGCGGGCCGGUGGGUACAAGAGACAUUGAGAGAAGGCAAACACAAUGGUAGAAAAGAGAAAAGGAAAAAUGAAAAAAAUCUAACAAAAAACCUUUCAGUACUAGAAAUGUGUUGGGCCAAGGCAAGAAAAAUAUUCCUGCGACCGACAGGAAUGACGCCUUAGAUCAGGAAUAAAGGAUGACGCGCCGAGUCAGACUGACACUCCGAGCGAUCGCUUUGUUGCAAAGCUAUCUCGCAAAAUGCCGGCCCAUACAUAUGGCGAGAUCCUCCCAGCCGCUUACUAGCUGAUCGUCUCUCAGCCAGGAUUUUAGUAAAUGGGAUCUGGAAUCGUGAUGAAUGAAGUCCGUCUGGAUAGCCACCCGAACUUCAUCCCGAGCUUCGGCCGACGAAAACGAAGGUAACUCGUUUGCAGCUCGCGUUAGCUACAUUUAGCGAGCAAACACGCUCCUUCAGUCCUUGUUACAUAAAAACAUAAUUUGGUCCCACUAGUUCACAUUACAAUGUAACAUCUGUUGCCAGUACUGAUUUCAAUGUUCCAUUUCGUCCAUCUUGCAGGAAUUCAACUCCCGCAAGUCGAACGUCUUUUACGAUUGCGACAAAGAAAAGUUAUGCAUCCAGCAGACGUUCGACCCCCAUUCCAGUACGCAGUGCAGACAAUAACGGGACUGUAAUUUCUCGUGUAUAAUUCGCGUUUUUCCCCCCAAAAAAUUGGCACUAGUCAAUAGUGCGCAUUAUACAUAGGUAUAGGUGCAAAUGGAAAAACUUCACAUUUUAUAAAUGUAUGCCGCCAUCUAGUGGUUAUGAAAAAGCUGUACACUUUAUUUCCAAAAUUCCACCACCACAUAAAAAAAGUGUAGCCUACACUUUCAUUCCAAUAUGACAGGGGUACGUAUGACUGCAUAUAAGUACAGUUGUGCUGAUAAGUUUACAUACCCUGGCAGAAUUUGUGACAUCCAUCCAAUAUUUUUUUAUAUUAAUAUUAUUUAUAUCAUAUUUAUAUUUAUUUAUAUUUAUAUUAUAUUGUUUUAUAUGACUGAUGACUGAACAAGAACCAUUAUUAAUUUCUUUAUGGUUAUGUUUUAUUUAAUGAUAAUGCUUUUCUGAGAUGCUUGACCGUUUAAUUUGAAUCCCAUUAAAAUAAAAUUAAGUGUUUCGCCUGGUCCUUCAUGUUUUCUUUAAAGAAUUGUACCCAUGUUACAAAUUUUGCCUGGGUAAUCAAACAUGAGCACAACUGUGUUUUCUAAUUUAUUAAAUAAAACUAGCGCUGUGAAUUUCAAAAUAAGAGCAAGUAAAUUUAAAAAAGGAUUACAUGUUGAAAUAAAGUGCUUAACUUCAGAAUAAUUCUUUAAAAAAAAAAACUAACAAAAUACAGAUAAUACUUAAUGUUUUGAUCAUAUGGGUAGAAGCAGAAUCAUACAUUGUAAAAAUGCAUUAUACAUAGGUAGAAGGGUUUUCCAGAAUUUUGAGGUCAACUUCGGGGGUGCGUAUUAUAAAUGGGUGCGCAUUAUACACGAGAAAUUACGGUAAUUGAAAGCUUUUUUUUCUCCACGUCCCACGACAGCAAUUUCAACAAUGUAUUUUUUUAGUAAUAGUUCUGUUUUUAAACUGCACAGGUCGUGCUUCAAGAAGAAGUAGGGACUAGUUUCAAGGACAAUGACAACCACACAAGAUCACAUUCACCGCCACCAAAGAAUAAAAUCCAUAUGUGGAUCAAACUUUGCUAGAUUUUAUGCACAAGGUAAUAAAAACCUGGACUAUUGAGCAAAUGGUAGAGGAGGAGAAUUUGGAUAAAAAAAGUGUGGGACACCCAUUUGUUCAUGCAUUUUUGUCUAAUGUAAAUUCUGUACAGUUAUACUUGUAAAUAAAUUAUUUUUCUGUCAAAAGUACUUUUUCAGUGUUGUUUUAUGUUCAGAUGUUUGAGAUUUUCACAAAAGAAAACAAAUAUUUGUCAGUAAUUGUUCUGCUUGAUGUCUGCUUUCACAAAAAGGCUGUUUUCUCAGUUUUUUCCCUCCAGAAACAGAUUUGCCUGAAAGUAGCCUAUAUUUGACUGCUGAUUACUAAAGAAAGGUGUAAGCUGGAGACAAACUUUUUCUGAUGAAAGAAGAAAGUCUGAUCUUUCUUUUGGUGGUUUUGGUGUUUACAUAGUCCUAAUACACAAUAUUCUGCGGGGCUUGAUAAAUGAGUGAAAUUGCUCCAAAAUGCCUGGCAGUCUCGGGGUUCCCUGCUCAGGAAAGGGCUGGCAGUUAAUGAGUUAAUAGGCUUGACCACUCUCACCAUUCUGAGUAAGUAAGGGUGCCAGAUCGCCACCAAAGGCAGCAAUAGUUUAACUAUAUAAGACCAAAACAAAUACGUAAAUGACUGAAAAAUGACACCACUUUAACUACUAAACCGUUUUUACUAGACUUUACGCCGAUCUGAUCGGUGUUAUCGGUAUUGGACAUUUUAUGCUGAUCGGCUGAUCGGAUUUCAUGUCAUAGGUCGCCAAUCCGAUCAAUGAUGUCAUCGAUUGGCUCCACACAAGACAUUUAACUCCGCGUCUUCGUCGCGUAUGAAUCCAAAAGCUAGUUUAUUUUUAGCCUAGUCACGUGUCUUGUUGCGCAGUACUGUAACUAUCUGACGGCCAAUAAAGUUUUUUCAAUCCUGUCUGUGAAAAAACACGUCAUCCGUGUGGGACUAUUUUGCGGUGUCUCAAACAAAUAAGUUAUUUGCAGUCUGUGCACAACUGAACUACGUCGUGGGGAACGUCAUCGAAAUGCUUCAACACAACAAAUUUGAUCGAGCGCCUGAAGAAUGUACACGAGGAGCAUGCCGCAUUCAAGCAACGCAGCGUGGGGAGGGGAGAGUCAAAGUAUUAAAGUAAUUUAAUUGCAGUAAGUUAGCACCCAUUAUUUCUGUCAUUUAAUGUUGAUUUGACCUAAAUUUAUGUCAGUGGCCAAUCUUGUAUGCCCCCUAGAGGUCAUUGGUGUUUUAACUUUUGUCUAAAAUGCUAGAGAAUAAUUUGAGCCGGGAUGGGCUCCGCAACCCUUGUGAGGAUAAGCUGUACAGAAAAUGGAUGGAUACAGUAUACAGUGCACAAGUAUAUACAAUAAAUGAACAAGACACAUUGCUCCAUCUUGUGAUCGGAUUGGUGAUCGGUUAUCGUAUUUUUUAAACUUGCUGAUCUGUGAUCGGCCCCAAAAAUCCUGAUUGUGUAAAGCCUAGUUUUUACAAAAUAACACAAAGAUGCAUUUUAACACAGUCAAAACGUGAUACAGUAAUUUUAACUAUAGCAAUUUUUCAGCUGUUACGCUAAAAUCCGACCUGCCAGAAACUGCGACCGGAAGUUACCAUGACGUUAUCCAACUGGCGUUUUUUAAAUUUUAUUUUAUUAAUAUACUGUAAUUUCUCGAUUAUAACAUACACCUUUUCUUUUAAAUAAGGUCUGUUUUUCGGGUGCGUGUUACAAAUUCAUCCAAUCAAACAACGACUAAAUAAGACAUGCCCCUUUUGAGCCCCUUUUGAGCUGUGCGGUGACGCUAACCUUGGUGGGUCAAUGUCGUCAGUGCAUUUCAUGUGUGGACGGCAAGAAAACCGAAAGAGCACGGAUGCCAGUGCAUUAUGCUGCAUACGCAGAGGUGGGAAGUAACGUAAAGUACUUUGUUACUGUAUAUAAGGAGAUUUUUCAGGUAUUUGUACUUAUUUAUUUUCUGGCGACUUUUUACUUUUACUCCUUACUUUUUAAACAGAAAUAUUUUUACUUUCUGUUCCUUAUCUUUUAAAAAUGAGUUCAUUACUUUGAAAACCUAAAUUUACCAACGACGCAACGUAAAAAUUUGAUUUAAGUAAGGGAGUGGCACCAGUACUUUGACUAGGGUUGUUUUUUUGCACAGUACUUUCAGUACUUUUACGUAAGUACUGAUACUUGUGCAAAAAAGACCAGUACUUUUGACAUCUCUGUGCAUAUGGUUGCAUACAGCACCUUAACAAUUACGAACGUCGACCUUCCAAAAUGGCUGCCACAUAGGCACGUCGGAUAGCUGUCCUGCUAUAGUGUGCUGACCUUUCUCAUCUCUAUAUCAACGGGGGACACAAAAUAGCUGAGCUGAGAUUGGUGGAAGACAUCGGCAUGUUGAUAGCUGCUGUCUGAUUGGUCACUACACUACAACUGAGAGUGCUCUGCCGCGGCUGUGAUAUGAAAUCAUUGCUUCAAGUAAUAUUGUCAGCAGGUGUCAGCUGAUCGAGUAUAAUUGUGCAACAGUAAAGCAACCUUGAAACUGCCGGUAAAAGUAAGUUUUUCACCAGCAUUCAAAAGAAAAGUGAUUGCAUUGGGCAACAGAGAAGGUAGUAGCAAAUUACAUCAAUGAGAAAAUGUAGGAAGCUGCAGAAAGCAAUACAUAGAGACUUUCUGAGUCAGAUUCUGACUCAUCAUUCAAUGUUUUUUAGGGGCAGAGCAAUUAAAGAAACAAAUGAUACAAAAGACAAAUUCUAAUAAUCUGUUAUUAUAGUGUUGUUCAAAUGAGGAUGAUAAAUCCGAUGACAAAUAGAACCACUUGUAUGGUAAUCCAUAAAUUUAUUGCUCACCUUCAAAGAAUGUUCAAAGUUCCACGUCCAUUUGAGAGAGAAAAUCGUGUAUUUGUUGUGAAAAUACUGAAAUUUCAUUUACUAAAACUUUGAAUAACGUAUUAUUAUUUUUGUUGUUGUCUGAGGGAGUAAGGGGCGGCACGGUGGCCGACUGGUUAGAGCAUCAGCCUCACAGUUCUGAGGUGCGGGGUUCAAUCCCCGUCCCCGCCUGUGUGGAGUUUGCAUGUUCUCCCCGUGCCUGCGUGGGUUUUCUCCGGGCACUCCGGUUUCCUCCCACAUCCCAAAAACAUGCAUUAAUUGGAGACUCUAAAUUGCCCGUAGGCAUGACUGUGAGUGCGAAUGG